AGACGAAGGAUGCAAGCGUUAUCCGGAUUCAUUGGGUUUAAAGGGUGCGUAGGCGGACUGAUAAGUCAGUGGUGAAAUCUCUCAGCUUAACUGAGAAACUGCCAUUGAUACUGUCGGUCUAGAGUAUAGAUGACGUUGGCGGAAUAUGACAUGUAGUGGUGAAAUACUUAGAUAUGUCAUAGAACACCGAUUGCGAAGGCAGCUAACGAAACUAUAACUGACGCUGAGGCACGAAAGUGGCGGGGAUC
rnacentral:rRNA from 1 species